CAGUAGCCACGGUAAAACGAAGGGUGCAAGCGUUACUCGGAAUUACUGGGCGUAAAGCGUGCGUAGGUGGUGGUUUAAGUCCGUUGUGAAAGCCCUGGGCUCAACCUGGGAAUUGCAGUGGAUACUGGAUCACUAGAGUGUGGUAGAGGAUAGUGGAAUUUCCGGUGUAGCAGUGAAAUGCGUAGAGAUCGGAAGGAACAUCUGUGGCGAAGGCGACUAUCUGGGCCAACACUGACACUGAGGCACGAAAGCGUGGGGAGCAAACAGGAUUAGAUACCCCCGUAGUCCCUGUCUCUUAUAC
rnacentral:rRNA from 1 species